rnacentral:rRNA from 1 species
AACGAACGCUGGCGGCAGGCUUAACACAUGCAAGUCGAACGCACCUUCGGGUGAGUGGCAGACGGGUGAGUAACGCGUGGGAACCUACCCAUUGGUACGGAAUAACCCGGGGAAACCCGAGCUAAUACCGUAUACGCCCGGUCCUUAUGGAUCGGGGAAAGAUUCAUCGCCGAUGGAUGGGCCCGCGUCGGAUUAGCUUGUUGGUGUGGUAACGGCGCACCAAGGCGACGAUCCGUAGCUGGUCUGAGAGGAUGAUCAGCCACACUGGGACUGAGACACGGCCCAGACUCCUACGGGAGGCAGCAGUGGGGAAUAUUGGGCAAUGGGCGCAAGCCUGAUCCAGCCAUGCCGCGUGAGUGAAGAAGGCCUUAGGGUUGUAAAUCUCUUUCGGCGGGGAAGAUAAUGACGGUACCCGCAGAAGAAGCCCCGGCUAACUCCGUGCCAGCAGCCGCGGUAAUACGGAGGGGGCUAGCGUUGUUCGGAAUUACUGGGCGUAAAGGGCACGUAGGCUGGCUGUUAAGUCGGGGGUGAAAUCCUGAGACUCAACCUCAGAAUUGCCUCCGAUACUGGCGGUCUCGAGUGCGGGAGAGGUGAGUGGAAUUCCCAGUGUAGAGGUGAAAUUCGUAGAUAUUGGGAAGAACACCAGUGGCGAAGGCGGCUCACUGGCCCGCAACUGACGCUGAGGUGCGAAAGCGUGGGGAGCAAACAG